UUUAAGGUCUAACCUGCCCAAUGAGGAUUUAAAUGGCCGCAGUAUUUUGACUGUGCAAAGGUAGCAUAAUUAUUAGUUUUUUAAUUGAAAGCUUGUAUGAAGGGUUGGACGAGAUGAAAUCUGUCUUUAUUUAAAUUAAAAUAUAAUUUAACUUUUAAGUAAAAAGGCUUAAAUGUUUAUAAAAGACGAGAAGACCCUAUAGAUCUUUAUUUAAUUAAAAUUUUAAUAAUUUAGGAUUAUUUUAAUUUAAAGUUUUAAUUAAAUUUUAUUGGGGUAAUAUAAAGAUUAAAUAAAUUCUUUUUAUUUAUGACAUUGAUUUAUGAAUAUAUGAUCCAUUAAUAUUGAUUAUAAGAUUAAGUUACCUUAGGGAUAACAGCGUAAUUUUUUUGGAGAGCUCAUAUCGAUAAAAAAGUUUGCGACCUCGAUGUUGGAUUAAAAAUUAGCUUGGGUGCAGAAGCUCAAGAUUUUGGUCUGUUCGACCAUUAAAUUUUUACAUGAUCUGAGUUCAGACCGGCGUGAGCCAGGUCGGUUUCUAUCUUUAUUAAUAUAAAAUGUUUUAGUACGAAAGGACCAAAUAUUUAAUAUAAUUAUAUUUAUUUUUUGAAGAAUAUU
rnacentral:rRNA from 1 species